GACGAAUGCUGGCGGCGUGCUUAACACAUGCAAGUCGAACGAUGAAGCCGGAGCUUGCUCUGGUGAAUUAGUGGCGAACGGGUGAGUAACACGUGAGUAACCUGCCCUUGACUCUGGGAUAACUGCGGGAAACUGUAGCUAAUACCGGAUACGACCCUCGGAGGCAUCUCCUGGGGGUGGAAAGAAUUUCGGUCAAGGAUGGACUCGCGGCCUAUCAGCUAGUUGGUGAGGUAAAGGCUCACCAAGGCGACGACGGGUAGCCGGCCUGAGAGGGGGACCGGCCACACUGGGACUGAGACACGGCCCAGACUCCUACGGGAGGCAGCAGUGGGGAAUAUUGCACAAUGGGCGCAAGCCUGAUGCAGCAACGCCGCGUGAGGGAUGGCGGCCUUCGGGUUGUAAACCUCUUUUAGCAGGGAAGAAGCGAAAGUGACGGUACCUGCAGAAAAAGCACCGGCUAACUACGUGCCAGCCGCCGCCGUAA
rnacentral:rRNA from 1 species